AGUGAACGCUGGCGGUAGGCCUAACACAUGCAAGUCGAACGGCAGCACAGUAAGAGCUUGCUCUUACGGGUGGCGAGUGGCGGACGGGUGAGGAAUACAUCGGAAUCUACUUUUUCGUGGGGGAUAACGUAGGGAAACUUACGCUAAUACCGCAUACGACCUACGGGUGAAAGCAGGGGAUCGUCGGAGCUUGCGCGUCUGAAUGAGCUGAUGUCGGAUUAGCUAGUUGGCGGGGUAAGGGGCCACCAAGGCGACGAGGCGUAGCUGGUCUGAGAGGAUGAUCGGCCACACUGGAACUGAGACACGGUCCAGACUCCUACGGGAGGCAGCAGUGGGGAAUAUUGGACAAUGGGCGCAAGCCUGAUCCAGCCACACCGCGUGGGUGAAGAAGGCCUUCGGGUUGUAAAGCCCUUUUGUUGGGAAAGAAAAGCAGCAGGUUAAUACCUCGCUGUUCUGACGGUACCCAAAGAAUAAGCACCGGCUAACUUCGUG
rnacentral:rRNA from 1 species